rnacentral:rRNA from 1 species
AGCAGUAGCCGCGGUAAUACGAAGGGUGCAAGCGUUAAUCGGAAUUACUGGGCGUAAAGCGUGCGUAGGCGGUUUGUUAAGUCUGUUGUGAAAUCCCCGGGCUCAACCUGGGAAUGGCAAUGGAUACUGGCAAGCUAGAGUGUGUCAGAGGAUGGUGGAAUUCCCGGUGUAGCGGUGAAAUGCGUAGAGAUCGGGAGGAACAUCAGUGGCGAAGGCGGCCAUCUGGGACAACACUGACGCUGAGGCACGAAAGCGUGGGGAGCAAGCAGGAUUAGAUACCCGUGUAGUCCCUGUCUCUUAUAA